GCACUUCUGUAGGAACUAGAGGCUGAUGGAGGCUGGAAGGAAGGAGAAGACAUGUAUACACAGUAUGCACAGAUCAGAUCCAAAUCCCAAGUGGAGAAUACAUAAGCAACAUCAAGAAGAUCUUAUCCAUGCUUACAGAAGACAUACAUGCCUGGUGGAAAGGCUCUCCUAGGAGCUUGGGAGACAAAGUUCAAAAAAUUCUUCCAAGUGACUCCUUGGGAAUCUGGUUGAAGUAAAUCUUAAGAAACUGUUCUAAGGCCUGGUUACCAGAAUCACCUGGAAGCACCCCAAGAGCCCCCUGUAUCUGCAGAGGCCCUGGGAUGUGGACGGAAGUUUCUGUCCUGCCUGGUCCCAUAGCUGUUUAGUCACAAAUAAACACACUGAGGCUUAUAUUAUUUAUAAUCUGUUUGCCUGAUGGCUCAGGCUUCUUAUUGGCUAGCUCUCUCUUAAUUAUUAACCGAUUUCUAUUAAUCUAUGUAUCUCCACGUGGUCUUGGCUUACCAAAGAAUGCUCGGGUAGCUACAUGGCAUCUCCCUAGAGACUCACCUCUGUUCCUCUUCCCAUAAUUCUCCUCAUCUGGUAGCCCUGCCUGUACUUCCUGCCUGGCUACAUCCUGCCUAUCCAUUGUCUGAAACAGCUUUAUUCAUCAUCCAAUAAGAGAAACAUAUAUUCACACUGUACAGAAGGACCUUUCCCAUCUGGUAAGAGCUGGGGAGCUUGUCUUAAAGCCAGCCUGCAGAGUAGCCACAUAGGCCCUGCUGAAGCUCUGCAGGGCCUGUAAGUGCUGACUGAAAGAGCUGAAAGAGCCGCAAGUUAAGACCUAACCAGCAUCUCUUCCUACAACUAUGACAGGAGGAAGUUUCUCUGGGCCUCCAUACUCUGAUGAGAAGUGUCUGUCUGUUCCUUCCAGAAGACUUGAUACAGAGAAGCCUCCAGCCACAGUUACCCAUAAUGGAAACCGAAGCAAGGAACCCAGGAACAGAAGAACCCAACGGGAUGGCAAAGAUGUUCCUUUUGAGUGGAAAACUGGAUCAACUCAAGAGGAAGGCAAUUGCCACACACAGACUUCACCAACUCUGAGCUCAUCAGGGGAGAAUAGGAGAGAUCAGUGGGGAUUCAGACAGCAUCCACCAAGCUCAUCUCAUUCGGUGUCUUCUUCGCUCCUCAAAGCAGUGGCACAGCAAUCCAGUCUGAGCAUGCAAGUCUGAGAACCAUAUUGAGAAGCCCCUGUGAGAGCCACCCUCUCUCUGCACAGGUUUCUGUUCCUUCUGCUUCCAGAGUCCACAAAUGUGCACUUGGGAGUAUCUGAAACCCAGAGCAACUUUACCCAACCCCAUCACUGACUUCCCUGGGGAGAAUUUUUUGUGGAGACUUAGUAGGAUUAAAUUGAGAUCCCAAGGAAACUGUAGGAGGCCACACUCCCAAAUGAGAAUGCAUACACCUGCUGCAGGCAGACUUCUGACCUGCAGCUCCUCAUUAGAAGGAAGAAACCACAGUGCAGCACCUGCGGCUGCUGAGGUGACUCUUUGGAUAAUGUCCUA
rnacentral:lncRNA from 1 species